UACGGGGGGGGCAAGCGUUGUUCGGAAUUACUGGGCGUAAAGGGCUCGUAGGUGGCCAACUAAGUCAGACGUGAAAUCCCUCGGCUUAACCGGGGAACUGCGUCUGAUACUGGAUGGCUGGAGUAUGGGAGAGGAAUGCGGAAUUCCAGGUGUAGCGGUGAAAUGCGUAGAUAUCGUGAGGAACACCAGAGGCGAAGGCGGUUACCUGGACAGUUACUGACGCUCAGGCACGAAAGCAUGGAGAGCAAAAGGG
rnacentral:rRNA from 1 species